UACGUAGGGGGCAAGCGUUGUCCGGACUUAUUGGGCGUAAAGCGCGUGUAGGCGGCCAGGUAGGUCCGCUGUGAAAACCCGAGGCUCAACCUCGGGACGUCGGCGGAAACCAUUUGGCUAGAGUCCGGAAGAGGAGAGUGGAAUUCCCGGUGUAGCGGUGAAAUGCGCAGAUAUCGGGAAGAACACCCGUGGCGAAGGCGGCUCUCUGGGACGGUACUGACGCUGAGACGCGAAAGCGUGGGGAGCGAACAGG
rnacentral:rRNA from 1 species